GCCGAUAUAGCUCAGUUGGUAGAGCAACUCAUUCGUAAUGAGUAGGUCAAGGGUUCAAGUCCCUUUAUCGGCU
rfam:Clostridium sp. CAG:768 genomic scaffold, scf4